rnacentral:rRNA from 1 species
UACGUAGGGGGCAAGCGUUGUCCGGAAUCAUUGGGCGUAAAGAGCGUGUAGGCGGUCCGGUAAGUCGGCUGUGAAAGUCCAGGGCUCAACCCUGGGAUGCCGGUCGAUACUGCCGGACUAGAGUUCGGAAGAGGCGAGUGGAAUUCCCGGUGUAGCGGUGAAAUGCGCAGAUAUCGGGAGGAACACCUAUGGCGAAGGCAGCUCGCUGGGACGUUACUGACGCUGAGGAGCGAAAGUGUGGGGAGCGAACAGG